UUCUGCAAUGCUGCUCAUGAAUCAGAAUGUGGUAUUCUAUACUGCACAACAUUCACAUGUCACCAUCAAGCAUCAUAAAGUCCUUCUCUUGUUUCAGAUUAUGAAUCCCUGAGAAUCGGUGGCCUGGUUUUCGCAGUGGUGCUGUUCCUCAUGGGUAUCGCCCUCAUUGUCACCAGAAAAUGCACCUGCUCGAACAGUGACAAGUCAAGGUCCAGGGGUCCUGAUGCAGAGUCAGGUGUUCCAAGGG